CCUACGGGCGGCAGCAGUGGGGAAUAUUGCACAAUGGGCGCAAGCCUGAUGCGGCCAUGCCGCGUGUGUGAAGAAGGCCUUCGGGUUGUAAAGCACUUUCAGCGGGGAGGAAGGCGUUAAGGUUAAUAACCUUGGCGAUUGACGUUACCCGCAGAAGAAGCACCGGCUAACUCCGUGCCAGCAGCCGCGGUAAUACGGAGGGUGCAAGCGUUAAUCGGAAUUACUGGGCGUAAAGCGCACGCAGGCGGUCUGUCAAGUCGGAUGUGAAAUCCCCGGGCUCAACCUGGGAACUGCAUUCGAAACUGGCAGGCUAGAGUCUUGUAGAGGGGGGUAGAAUUCCAGGUGUAGCGGUGAAAUGCGUAGGGAUCUGGAGGAAUACCGGUGGCGAAGGCGGCCCCCUGGACAAAGACUGACGCUCAGGUGCGAAAGCGUGGGGAGCAAACAGGAUUAGAUACCCCAGUAGUC
rnacentral:rRNA from 1 species